rnacentral:tRNA from 1 species
GGUAGCGUAGGCAAAUUGGUAAAGCCGCACGGCUUUCAACUGUGUGCUUGCGGGUAACUCCUAUGGAGACGCUUCGCGAACGAUUCCCGUCGCUACUGCCA